UUUAAUUUGGAAACAACUCUUCCAUUCAACUCUCAAACUCUCGUUCUCAUGUUUAAUUUGGAAACAACUCUUCCAUUCAACUCUCAAACUCUCGUUCUUUCCAUUACUCUUGAACUCAGAUAAAAAAAACUCAAACAUCAAUGCACUAAUUAAAAGGAAAUCAAUACAAAUAUUAAUUUUGAAAUGGAUGAAUUAAUAUCAAUGGAAUCCAACGAAAUUGAAGAAUCUGAAGGUCCUAAGGUUGAAACCAAAAGAGCUUGAUCUGUUCAUAACUCAAGGUUUCAAGCAAAAAUAACAAUUGAAACACGUUUAGAUCUAUUAGGAAAGUUUCUGAGAAAUUACAUGAUUGAACGCAAGCCGGAAUCAAUGAAUCUGUGUUCAUGUUCUUGAGUGUUCAUGAACACUCAUGAACACAUGAACCCUAGAUAUUUCUCGAAAUUUGAAUUUUGAGAUAUUUCAUAAAAUUGUUUGAGGGUUUGGAUAUUAAACAAGUGCAAAAACUCAAUUAUGCCAAGAAAACACUAAGAUGAUGAAGAUUAGAAGUUACCUGAAGCAAAAAGCUCAACAACAAUGAUGAACAACGAUGAAGUUUCCAGUGAAAUAUGUGGAAUCCGAUGAAGCUCCAGCAAGGCUGUUGAAGUUAUGAUGAAAGGUUUAGAUGGCUGCAACUCAAUGCCAACCUUGGAAGUUAUUCAUAAACAAGAAUAACUUCACAAGCUUGCAGAAUUGCUCGAGCUGUAACUUGUGAGAAGGAGGCUAUGGUGAAGAUUUUUUCUGCUCAAUAUUUGAAGUUUUAUGUCUGCUGAAUAGAGUGAAUUCAAUAGGUUUAGAUAGGCUAGAUUAGGGUUGCGAGGUG